UAAAAAUGGAAAAACAUCUGGUAAAUGAAAGAAGGCUAAUGAUGAUAUUGAAAAGGUUACUGAAACACCUCUUAAAAAUCGCAAAACAUAUGGAAAACGCAAGAAGGCUAAUGAUGAUAUUGAAAAUAUUACUGAAGCACCUCCUAAAAAGUUCCCCCAUUCAUCUCGGCGAAGAAAAAGAUGUGUGGACAAGGCUCUGCUGGAUGAAAAAUUUCUUGAUACAAUCUUCUCGGCAGUAG